GAAACAUUCUCUGUGUGUACUUUUAACAAAACAGGAAAAAUAAUGGUUGGCUCGGACUUACAGGGUGAGGGGUCCUAGAGGUGCAGUCAGUUAAUAGAGCUGGACAUCAAAUAACAUGCUGUUUUAUACAAGCCAGGUUGUUACAGUGUUUAGCAUGUUUUUAUAUAGAUCUUUGUUAAGAAUAGAAAUGACAUUAAGUCAAUACACCCCGUAAAAUGUGUGAGAACCUGAUGCGAGGCUAAAACGUUAACAGCGCUUCAUUUGCUGCUGAAGAAUGAGUGAUAAAACCCGGGGGAGUGGGAGGAAAUGCGCCGUUUGACCACGAGGGGGCAGCAUAGCAACACACGAUUGGUUUUACAAUGUUGAUUUUUUUAACCUUUAUGUUGAAAAAGUAAGUUCAGUGAGGACAUUAUUGCAUAUAGCUAUCUAUGAUAAUGAAAAUAUAUUAGUUUAUACUUUCGGCUUUGAUAAUAUCAAUGACGCCUACUAGUGAAAAGGUUUGACUUAAUUACGUUUCAUUCUUAUAUAUAAGAAUGCAGGCAGUAAAAUAUUGCGCUAACCUGUCUAUAAAGCGUAGGAGGGCCCGUCAUCCUUCAGGCGAUCAUCGGUUUGUUCGUGGAUGAGACGUGGGGUGGCGGCAGACAACGGGUUAACGCGGCCGCAGGCUGUGAUUGGCCGCGGCCGCAGCGCUGGGACGGACGCUGCGUCUCCGCCGUGUGCGCACUGGAAAAGUCAGUGAGUGGACCCAAGUGUUCCAGACGCGUUUCCAGCCCGGUCCACGGUCGUUGUCGUCGUGGUCCUCGGGUCCGUCUGGCCUCGUUCGUGCUGGUGAGCGCGUGGAGGUCCGUUUGAGGUUCGGUGGGACGGCGACCACCGUCACUUUGAUUCAUGGACUCGACCCGGACCUCAGCUCAAAACAUUAUUAUCACGGGGCGGACACACUGCUGACUUCAUUCAUUUCAUAUCCAGGGAACAUGAAGUUGCCCUUGGGCACCAUGUGCGUCCUGAAGACCGUGCUCUUCAUCUUUGGGGCCGUUUUACUCACUGACUGUGCGAGAGGUGAGUUCUCUCCUCCCUACUAAUAUUGAGUUGGUCCUGGAUGGGAACCAGGUCCAGCCGAGCCGAGCUGGCCGCCUGGUUUCUUGUGGGCAUGAGGAAAGUCUCAGUUGGCUCUCAGUGUUUUCUCACCGAGAAGUUAGAGGUGGAAAACGAAGAAGUGAAAGAAUGUCUCUAAAGGAAGCCCAAAAUCAACACACGGCGGGGGAACGAGGGAGGGCAGAGCAGCCGCUGCCCCCAGUGUGUGUGUGUGUGUGUGUGUGUGUGUGUGUGUGUGUGUGUGUGUGUGUGUGUGUGUGUGUGUGUGUGUGUGUGUGUGUGUGUGUGCGUGCGCGCAGCUAAACCAAACAAACAUCAUCCAUCAGCUUCCCGGGGCGAAAGAACACGAGUCAGUGUGUGAGUCCACGUCUCCUGCCGCUUGUCUCACAUCGGGCCCCGACGCAGAACCAGAAUCCACAGCUCGGUUUAUUGUACCAGCGUCCGCUUACAGCGGGCUCCUCCGCCGGUUCACGCACUCUCCCC
ensembl:lncRNA